rnacentral:rRNA from 1 species
UACGGAGGGAGCUAGCGUUGUUCGGAAUUACUGGGCGUAAAGCGCGCGUAGGCGGCUUUGUAAGUUAGAGGUGAAAGCCCGGGGCUCAACCCCGGAACUGCCUUUAAGACUGCAUCGCUUGAAUCCGGGAGAGGUGAGUGGAAUUCCCGGUGUAGCAGUGAAAUGCGUAGAUAUCGGGAGGAAUACCGAUGGCGAAGGCAGGUCUCUGGGCUAUAACUGACGCUCAUGCACGAAAGCGUGGGGAGCAAACAGG